rnacentral:rRNA from 1 species
CCUACGGGGGGCUGCAGUGGGGAAUAUUGGACAAUGGGGGCAACCCUGAUCCAGCCAUGCCGCGUGUGUGAAGAAGGCCCUCGGGUUGUAAAGCACUUUCAGUGAGGAAGAACGCCUGGUGGUUAAUACCCAUCAGGAAAGACAUCACUCACAGAAGAAGCACCGGCUAACUCCAUGCCAGCAGCCGCGGUAAUACGGAGGGUGCGAGCGUUAAUCGGAAUUACUGGGCGUAAAGCGCGCGUAGGUGGCUUGAUAAGCCGGUUGUGAAAGCCCCGGGCUCAACCUGGGAACGGCAUCCGGAACUGUCAAGCUAGAGUGCAGGAGAGGAAGGUAGAAUUCCCGGUGUAGCGGUGAAAUGCGUAGAGAUCGGGAGGAAUACCAGUGGCGAAGGCGGCCUUCUGGACUGACACUGACACUGAGGUGCGAAAGCGUGGGUAGCAAACAGGAUUAGAUACCCCUGUAGUC